rnacentral:rRNA from 1 species
GAUGAACGCUGGCGGCGUGCCUAAUACAUGCAAGUCGAGCGAACAGACGAGGAGCUUGCUCCUCUGACGUUAGCGGCGGACGGGUGAGUAACACGUGGAUAACCUACCUAUAAGACUGGGAUAACUUCGGGAAACCGGAGCUAAUACCGGAUAAUAUAUUGAACCGCAUGGUUCAAUAGUGAAAGACGGUUUUGCUGUCACUUAUAGAUGGAUCCGCGCCGCAUUAGCUAGUUGGUAAGGUAACGGCUUACCAAGGCAACGAUGCGUAGCCGACCUGAGAGGGUGAUCGGCCACACUGGAACGGAGACACGGUCCCGACUCCUACGGGAGGCAGCAGUAGGGAAUCUUCCGCAAUGGGCGAAAGCUUGACGGAGCAACGCCGCGUGAGUGAUGAAGGUCUUCGGAUCGUAAAACUCUGUUAUUAGGGAAGAACAAAUGUGUAAGUAACUAUGCACGUCUUGACGGUACCUAAUCAGAAAGCCACGGCUAACUACGUG